rnacentral:lncRNA from 1 species
ACAGGCGGCGGUGGGGGCGGGGAGGGGACGGGGCCGCCGGUCCUGGCAGCAGGAGGAAGAGGCGGCGGCCGAGACGGGACGGGACGGGACGGGACAGGACGGGACAGGACAGGACAGGUCAGUGUGGCGCGGAAGCUUGGCCUGACUGCGGCCCCCGCGCCGGACACGGCCCUUCCCCUUCCCCCGCCUCCUGACAGGACGGGCGGCGGCCGCCGGGGCCCCGCUCACCCUCCCUCAGCGGCCUCGGGCUGGGACCACCACCACCACCACGACGACGACGACGACGACGAGGAGGAGGAGGUGUGGCGGGGAGGGCAGGUGGGCUCCUCUCCCGGGGCCCCACUUGUCACGGGGGUCGGCCGCAAGGGAGCCCGCCCAUUGCCCCCCCAUCGUUCCUUCCUUCCUUCCUUCCUUCCUUCCUUCCUUCCUUCCUUCCUUCCUUCCUUCCUUCCUUCCUUCCUUCCUUCCUUCCUUCCUUCCUUCCUUCCUUCCUUCCUUCCUUCCUUCCUUCCCUCCUUCAUUCAUUCCUUCCUGCCUUCAUUCAUAUCUGCCUUCACUCAUUCAUUUCUUCCUGCCUUCAUUUAUUCAUUUCCCCCUUCCUGCCUUCCUUCCUGCCUUUCUUCAUUCAUUCCUUCCUGCCUCCCUUCAUUCAUUCCUUCCUGCCUUCCUUCAUUCAUUUUUCCUGCCUGCCGGCCGUCCUUCCUUCCUUCCUUCCUGCCUUCUUUUCUUCAUUUCUUCCUGCUUUCCUUCAUUCCCUCCUUCCUUCAUUCAUUUCUUCCUGCCUUCAUUCCUUCCUGCCUUCAUUCAUUCAUUUCUUCCUGCCUUCAUUCAAUCAUUUCCCCCUUCUUGCCUUCCUUCAUUCCCUCCUUCCUUCCUUCAUUCCCUCCUUCAUUCAUUUCUUCCUGCCUUCCUUUCUUCAUUCCCUCCUUCCUUCCUUCCUUCCUUCCUUCAUUUCUUCCUGCCUGCCUACCUCCCUUCCUUCAUUUCUUCCUGCCUUCCUUUCUUCCUUUCUUCCUGCCUUCCUUCAUUCCCUCCUUCCUUCCUUCAUUGCUUCCUGCCUUCCUUCCUUCCUCAUUCCCUCCUUCCUUCAUUCAUUUCUUCCUGCCUUCCUUUCUUCAUUCCCUCCUUCCUUCCUGCCUUCCUUUCUUCAUUCCCUCUUUCCUUCCUUCCUUCAUUUCUUCCUGCCUGCCUGCCUCCCUUCCUUCAUUUCUUCCUGCCUCCCUCCCUCCCUCCCUCCCUCCCUCCCUCCCUCCCUCCCUCCCUCCCUUCCUUCCUUCCUUCCUUCCUUCCUUCCUUCCUUCCUUCCUUCCUUCCUUCCUUCCUUCCUUCCUUCCUUCCUUCCUUCAUCCAUUCAUUCCAUCCUUCAUUCCUUCAUUCAUCGAGAAGCAGCGUGGCUCAGUGGAAAGAGCCCGGGCUUAG